AGAAUAAAAAAUUUGCUCUCAGUCACGUGUUAGGAACGUGAUGGUUUGGUUUGGUGUGCCCAUCAGGUGACAUCAUGAAAACAAAGAUGUGGAACAACUUCAUGUAUACUAUCGGAUUUGAAUUGAAGAUCCGCGCAUUGUAUUUAAGUAACCUAUACCCGUAUUUUUAUGUUGGAUUCGGGUUGGAUGUGCCGUCGUCCUCUCCCUCCGCUUCCGCCGCCAUCGGCUCCCUCUCCAUUGCCACUGCAGUCAUCUUCUCCCUGCGCAAGCUUCUCGAGCAAUCCAUCACCACCGGCCGCAGCAUACCUUCGACGUCCUCGUCGCAGCCUAGCAGGAGCUCGAGCCCUUCGAUUCCCUCGUGGUGAGAAUACGCCGACGUCCGGUGGCUGGUCCAUUUUUAAGGGUUACGGCUUUGGGUUCGGUUUGCUAACGAAGUGUUCGACUCGAUUGAGCAAUUGAACCGGACGGGAAACCGGUGCCCCCCCUGUACAUACAAGAGAGAGAGAGAGAGAGACAGAGAGCCUAAAAACAAUCCCUAGCUUGGAGUAGCCGGCCCGAACUCCCGUUCCCUUCCUCUAUCUUCUUCGCCUCUCCAUCUUCCUCAUCCGCCGUCUCCCUUCCGUAUCGAUGGCGAUUGCAGGCGCCGACGAAACGGGUCGCAGCAGGGCGUACCGCCUAGUGGCGGCGAAGGGCGAGGACUAGUGGCACUGUGAGACAAGAUCCCUACUCCCUCUUGUGAUCGAGAAACAUAGGCGUAUUUUGGACAUCUGAUGAUGCCAACAGACAUUCAAGGUUAGGGCUGUUAGGGGAAGCUCCAUCCUUUCAAGCUAACAGUGGACUAAAAGAUUGGAACACAACUGAAUCAAGUUUGAUCAAAUCAGUCUAGUGGCUUCAUAUUUGGCCUUCGAAUCUUCUUUUCUGGUGGAGUUCGAACAUCAAUUUUUUAUUCUCAUUGAUCCAAAACAAUGAGAAAACUUUUAUCUACUUGGCACUACAUUCGAGCACCGAUGUAAUGGGCCACUUUUGGACGACCUCCUAACCCUCAUUUUGCAAUUUGAGACAUCUAAGUGGUGAAGAUGCAAGAUUCACGGAUGACUCCACCAGAAGACGCGAUCAACGUUAAACCACAAAAGAAGAAACCAUCGAAAUGGAUGUCUACUGCAGUUCAGAUCAAAGAAGAGUGUUGGGGGAAAAGAAGCUUCCCAUCUGUCCAACAAGCCACAAAAUGGAUCCAAGAGAGGCCUGUAAAGAUCCAGUGACUACUACAGGGCACUAGGGCGCAAAUACUUAUUGCUGGAGGAAGAAAGCUUGAUGCAGAGGUAAGAACUCUGGAAGAUGAGAAGUUUGCUCUGUUGGAUCAGCUCGUUGUCUUGGAAGGUCUUCUUGAUCCUUCACGUAGGGGGUUUGUGAAGAGAACACCACCCGACAGAGAGAUUUGUAUGUUAUUAAAAGCCCAAGCUACGAUCUGAAUUGAUGUAUCAGUGGUAUCUUCUGAUUAAGAUGUAUAAAAUAUUACAAAUGAGAGAGAAUUCAAAAUAUAGUUUAGAAGGAA